UGGAGGCUUUUUGGGUCAUGAAAAUCUGCACUUUUUCUUCAACAAAAACUUGUUCUUCAAGGGUUUAGAGCCGUAAGUUAGCUAAUGGACCGCCUCUGGAUGUUGCAUUUGUUUGUUGCUUGAUGGCUUGUAAUGCAAACAAUUAUCUUUUAAAUUUUGGAUUUGGAUUAUGUAAUGGUUUAUCGACAAUUUAAUUUGAACUAUGUAACCUCUUGAUUGGGAUGAUUUUAGGACUUUAAUUAUGAUGUUUUCCAUUUAA